rnacentral:rRNA from 1 species
GAUGAACGCUGGCGGCGUGCUUAAUACAUGCAAGUCGAACGGAAAGGCUCCUGCUUGCAGGGGUACUCGAGUGGCGAACGGGUGAGUAACACGUGGGUGAUCUGCCCUGCACUUCGGGAUAAGCCUGGGAAACUGGGUCUAAUACCGGAUAGGACGAUGGUUUGGAUGCCAUUGUGGAAAGUUUUUCGGUGUGGGAUGAGCUCGCGGCCUAUCAGCUUGUUGGUGGGGUAAUGGCCUACCAAGGCGUCGACGGGUAGCCGGCCUGAGAGGGUGUACGGCCACAUUGGGACUGAGAUACGGCCCAGACUCCUACGGGAGGCAGCAGUGGGGAAUAUUGCACAAUGGGCGCAAGCCUGAUGCAGCGACGCCGCGUGGGGGAUGACGGCCUUCGGGUUGUAAACUCCUUUCGCUAGGGACGAAGCGCAAGUGACGGUACCUGGAGAAGAAGCACCGGCUAACUACGUG